CAGUAGCCGCGGGAAAACGGAGGGUGCAAGCGUUAUCCGGAUUUAUUGGGUUUAAAGGGUCCGUAGGCGGAUCUGUAAGUCAGUGGUGAAAUCUCACAGCUUAACUGUGAAACUGCCAUUGAUACUGCAGGUCUUGAGUAAAUUUGAAGUGGCUGGAAUAAGUAGUGUAGCGGUGAAAUGCAUAGAUAUUACUUAGAACACCAAUUGCGAAGGCAGGUCACUAAGAUUUAACUGACGCUGAUGGACGAAAGCGUGGGGAGCGAACAGGAUUAGAUACCCCUGUAGUCCCUGUCUCUUAUAC
rnacentral:rRNA from 1 species